UAUAGCACCUUUGAUGUUCGCUGUUUGGGAAGCCCCACAGGCUUCCACGGGGUUUUCUCCUUUUGAGCUGUUAUACGGACGGAGACCUCGGGGCAUCCUCGAUCUAAUAAGAGGAAGAUGGGAAGAAGGAGAGGAUCGUUCCAAAGGGGUGCUGCAGCAGAUAGCAGAAAUGAGAAACCAGCUGCAGUUGGCCUGGGAGAUGGCCAAAGAGAAUUUAGGCCAAGCACAGGCUAGACAAAAGGCCUCUUACCACAAGAGAGUAAGGCCUAGGAGUUUUGAACCCCAGCAAAAGGUGUUGGUAUUGUUACCUACUGACACGUCCAAAUUCUUAGCUAAGUGGCAUGGACCGUACACAGUGUUAAGAAAGCUAAAUGAAGUGGACUAUGAAGUAGAAACCCCAGAUCGAAGAAAGAAGACCCAGGUGUUCCAUGUAAAUCUAUUGAAAGAAUGGGUAGACCGUGAGGCAUUGUUUGGGUCUGAGGUAGACGAUGAAUUAGGACCGGAUAGGGAAGAGCUCACCUCAGAAGGUGAUGUGGUUGUAGGGGACCUUUUGUCGGGGGAACAAAAGCAACAAGCGUUGCACCUAAAGAAAGAUUUCCCACGGGUGUUCUCCACCACACCCGGAUGUACUCAGCUGGUAGAACAUAACAUCGAGACCGUCCCGGGGGAAGUAGUAAGGAUUAGUGGAAGGACUUGGCCCAGGCAUGUAACAGGAGUCAUUAAUGAAGAAGUAGAAGAAAUGCUAAAAUUGGGGGUGAUUGAGCCCUCCAACGGGCCUUGGAGGAGCUUCCCUGUGAUGGUACCCAAACCCGACGGGUCCUUGAGAUUUUGUAUUGAUUUCCGUAAGGUCAAUGCCAUAUCUAGGUUCGAUGCUUACCCAAUGCCCAAGGUGGGAGACUUGUUAGAUAGGUUAGGAAGGGCCAAAUACCUGAGUUUAAUCGACCUAACGAAGGGUUAUUGGCAAAUUCCGUUACGCCCCCAGGAUAAAGAAAAAACAGUUUUCUGUACCCCUAAGGGGUUAUUCCAAUUUAAAAAGAUGCCGUUUGGACUGCAUGGCGCAGCAGCCACCUUCCAACGCCUAAUGGACCGGGUUUUGGAACCCCUACAAGAUUGCGCUGCUGCCUAUAUAGAUGGCAUUAUUAUUUUUAGUAGCUCUUGGGAAGAACAUCUAACCCAUUUGAGAAGGGUACUAGCAAGGCUACAGGAAGCGGGUUUAACCGUUAAUCCUAAAAAGUGUAAGAUAGGGUUACCCAAGGUAGAAUACCUAGGUUACAAGGUAGGACAA
rnacentral:lncRNA from 1 species